GUAAUAUUUAAUUGCGAAGCAAGUAAAUAUUACAUAGGGUUUCUCGCUAUGGGAUGAGGCUAUAUCGUAUCAGCUAGUUGGUAGGGUAAUGGCUUACCAAGGCUAUGACGCGUAACUGGUCUGAGAGGAUGAUCAGUCACACUGGAACUGAGACACGGUCCAGACUCCUACGGGAGGCAGCAGUAGGGAAUAUUGCUCAAUGGGGGAAACCCUGAAGCAGCAACGCCGCGUGGAGGAUGACACUUUUCGGAGCGUAAACUCCUUUUCUUGGGGAAGAAAUUUGACGGUACCCAAGGAAUAAGCACCGGCUAACUCCGUGCCAGCAGCCGCGGUAAUACGGAGGGUGCAAGCGUUACUCGGAAUCACUGGGCGUAAAGGACGCGUAGGCGGAUUAUCAAGUCUCUUGUGAAAUCCAAUGGCUUAACCAUUGAACUGCUUGAGAAACUGAUAAUCUAGAGUGAGGGAGAGGCAGAUGGAAUUGGUGGUGUAGGGGUAAAAUCCGUAGAGAUCACCAGGAAUACCCAUUGCGAAGGCGAUCUGCUGGAACUCAACUGACGCUAAUGCGUGAAAGCGUGGGGAGCAAACAGGAUUAGAUACCCUGGUAGUCCACGCCCUAAACGAUGUAUACUAGUUGUUGCUAAGCUAGUCUUGGCAGUAAUGCACCUAACGGAUUAAGUAUACCGCCUGGGGAGUACGGUCGCAAGAUUAAAACUCAAAGGAAUAGACGGGGACCCGCACAAGCGGUGGAGCAUGUGGUUUAAUUCGAAGAUACGCGAAGAACCUUACCCGGACUUGAUAUCUAACAAAUCAUCUAGAGAUAGAAGAGUGUCUGCUUGCAGAAAUGUUAAGACAGGUGCUGCACGGCUGUCGUCAGCUCGUGUCGUGAGAUGUUGGGUUAAGUCCCGCAACGAGCGCAACCCACGUCAUUAGUUGCUAACGGUUCGGCCGAGCACUCUAAUGAGACUGCCUUCGCAAGGAGGAGGAAGGUGUGGACGACGUCAAGUCAUCAUGGCCCUUAUGUCCGGGGCGACACACGUGCUACAAUGGCAUAUACAAUGAGACGCAAUAUCGCGAGAUGGAGCAAAUCUAUAAAAUAUGUCCCAGUUCGGAUUGGAGUCUGCAACUCGACUCCAUGAAGCCGGAAUCGCUAGUAAUCGUAGAUCAGCCAUGCUACGGUGAAUACGUUCCCGGGUCUUGUACUCACCGCCCGUCACACCAUGGGAGUUGAUUUCACUCGAAGCCCAAAUACCAAACCGGUUAUGGUCCACAGUGGAAUCAGCGACUGGGGUGAAGUCGUAACAAGGUAACCGUAGGAGAACCUGCGGUUGGAUCACCUCCUU
rnacentral:rRNA from 1 species